AACGAACGCUGGCGGCAUGCCUAACACAUGCAAGUCGAACGAAACCUUCGGGUCUUGUGGCGCACGGGUGCGUAACGCGUGGGAACCUGCCCUUAGGUUCGGAAUAACUCCCCGAAAGGGGUGCUAAUACCAGAUAAUGUCUUCGGACCAAAGAUUUAUCGCCUUUGGAUGGGCCCGCGUUGGAUUAGCUAGUUGGUAGGGUAAAAGCCUACCAAGGCGACGAUCCAUAGCUGGUCUGAGAGGAUGAUCAGCCACACUGGGACUGAGACACGGCCCAGACUCCUACGGGAGGCAGCAGAGGGGAAUAGUGGACAAUGGGGGAAAGCCUGAUGCAGCAAUGCCGCGUGAGUGAUGAUGGCCUUAGGGUUGUAAUGCUCUUUUAACCGGGAAGAUAAUGACAGUACCGGGUGAAUAAGCCCCGGCUAACUCCGUG
rnacentral:rRNA from 1 species